rnacentral:lncRNA from 1 species
CACACUUAUUUUUGUUUCUUUUGCUAAUAAAUUCCAUUGUUGUAACCUGGAGCCCAAAAGUUCAGCGUUUUCUUUUGUAAGGUUAAGGUCUCGGGCUAAAUCGUUAAGUUCAGCUUGAUUUAUCAAGUGGGGUUCAUUAGUACUUAUCACAAAAUUUGGAUCAAAUGCUGAAGGUGCACUACUGAUACAAUCUGCACUAGUGGAAGCAAUAUCGAGUGGUGGAACCGGUAUUGGAAAUUCUUGGCCAUGCGGAACAGGUCUUGUAGAUGAAGAAGUAUCAGGAUAGACAAUAUUGAUUUUCGUCUUCCUGGAAUGUCCACUGGUCUUAGUUAAGCAAAAGUAGCAGUCCAAGCUGUGAUCAGUAGGCUCACGCCACAUCAUUGGCAUUGCAAACGGCAUCGAAGAACGCUUGCCAGUCAUCCAUUUUCUCAGACUAGCAACACAAGUAAUGCAGCAAAUAUGAGGAGCCCAUUUUUUAUUUUGGUGACCAAUUGUAAAACCGAAAUACGCUUCGUACAUCACUUUAACAUUCUCACUUACUGGUCUCCUUUGAGUUACGGGUGUAAAAUUGCCACAAAUGAAGCAAAACGUAUCAGGGGAAUUCACACAACUUAUUUUAUCAGAAUUUUCACUCAUUUUAAUAACAAAUUUUAAAUAUAACCAAGUUAUUACAGAAAAUACGCAAAGCCAGUAUUUGUUGUGUAGUAGUGUCAUAAGAAAAAUAAAGAUACCCUCAUUUUAUACUUGUCUAUCUAUCAUAUCAUAUGAAUUAUAAAGAUACCCUCAAAUAAAUAGUUGACUAUCAUCUACAUUUUUAUCUUAGCCUGUAUGCGGGUAAAUUAUAAAAAAAAAAAAUAUUUAAAAAAAAACCAGAGUCUAGACAGAUUUUGGUAAGCAUAUUUGUAAUCAGUAAUGCUAGUGCUACAUCGUGAUAUAGGUCAGUGUUCUGUUGCCCGAACCUUGUAGACUAGUGUUAUUAGACCCCCUUUUAAUUUAUUUUAUACUUUUUAUUACACUCACAAGUAAUGCCUAACUUGGGGACAUUAUAAAUUUAUACUAUUUAUUAGAGAAUAAAG